rnacentral:rRNA from 1 species
UACAGAGGGUGCGAGCGUUGUCCGGAAUCACUGGGCGUAAAGGGCGCGUAGGCGGUGACUUAAGCGUGUGUUGAAAGCUCGGGGCUCAACCCCGAGUCGGCCGUGCGAACUGGGUCACUGGAGCAGAUCAGAGGCAGGCGGAAUUCCGGGUGUAGCGGUGGAAUGCGUAGAGAUCCGGAAGAACACCGGUGGCGAAGGCGGCCUGCUGGGAUCUUGCUGACGCUGAGGCGCGACAGCGUGGGGAGCAAACAGG